CAAUAGCGUAUAUUUAAGUUGUUGCAGUUAAAAAGCUCGUAGUUGGAUUUCGGGUAGGAUUUGCCGGUCCGUCUUUGAGAUGUGUACUGGUAAGUCCUAUCUUCUUGUCGGGGACCAGCUCCUGGGCUUCACUGUCCGGGACUGGGAGCCGACGAAGUUACUUUGAGUAAAUUAGAGUGUUCAAAGCAAGCCUUCGCUCUGAAUAUAAUAGCAUGGGAUAACACGACAGGACUCUGGCCUAUCGUGUUGGUCUGUAGGACCGGAGUAAUGAUUAAGAGGAACAGUCGGGGGCAUUCGUAUUCCAUUGUCAGAGGUGAAAUUCUUAGAUUUAUGGAAGACGAACAUCUGCGAAAGCAUUUGCCAAGGAUGUUUNCAUUG
rnacentral:rRNA from 1 species